UCAGGCAAGGUGACUGUUUUGCCUAUAAUAACAUCAUCUCCUGAUACACGGACUCCAGGAGCUAUCAAACCAUCAUCAUCCAGCUUGUCAUAAAUGGCAUGCCUCAUACCUUGGAGGAAACAGACAUGGAAUUUUCCAAAAUGGUACUACUCUAUAAAGUAUUUAAAAUGUCACAUAAUCUGGGCCAUCUGGAUGGUUCAGUCGGUUAAGCACUGGCCUUCAGCCGGAGUCAGAUCGAGCCCUGCAUCAGGUUCCCUGCUCAGUGGGGAGUCUGCCUCUUCCAUGCCCUCCACCUCCCACACCCACUUGUGUGUACACAUGCUCUCAAAUAAAAGUCACAUAAUCCCUCCAAAAGAUUAAAACCAAAUACAUAUCAGUUCCAAGUCAGAGAGAAAUUCAUAGGAAUCUUUAACACCAUGAACCAUGUGUAGUAAUAAUACAAUGCUCUCAAUUCUAAAUACUACAAACUAUUCUGAAUUCUUUAAAAAAAAAAAAAAACAAAAAACACUGGACUGAGCACUGGAAAAUCAGAUUAUUUAUAUGCUGGCUGAUUUUGGAUACGGGUGUUGCCAUCUUCUGAUCUUUUACGUGAAAAAGAAUAUGCCCUCGGAGGGCCAGGGUGGCACAGUUAGUUAAGCAUCUGACUCCUGGUUUCACCUCAGCUGUGAUCUCAGGGUCAUGAGAUGAAGCCCUGAGUCCUGCUCUGUGGGAGUCUGCUUGGGUUUCUUUCUCCCUCUUCUAUCCCUCCCUCCUGCGCUCACUCCCUCUCAGUGAAAUAAAUAAAUAAAUCUUAAAAAGAAAAAGAAAAACAGUAUGCCCUCUACACAUAUCCUCUCACAGAAAUUUUGAAUUUCAUCAUAUGUAAACUUAACUGCACUGGACAUCAAUUCACUACUACACAGAACCACUCACAGAAAAUGGAAUAAUAGAAAGAUGACUUAAAAACAAAACACAUUUUACUUCACACAAUACCAUCAGUAGUCCAAACUGUAGCAGAUACAGUUUCCCUGGGACGUCCCAUCCAUCCCACUACAUACGGUUUUUAAGUGUCUGUGAAAAUCGUAACUAGAUAGUAAGUUUGAGUUUUCUAGAAGAAACGAAAGUGCCAGGUAUGACCUCUGUUUACCUGUUAAGUGUAUACGAAUAUUGUAUCUAGACAAAUAUGGUCACAGUACAAUGUGGAGAGGGAGGGAAUUCCCAUGCAAACACAUAAACUGAGGCAGAGUUCAGAGUACACGUAGUAAAAAGGGCUGCAGUGUAACCCACGAAAUUACAAGACUUCUGUGACCUCCUCUUCAAUGCAGGAUCUACCAGGGUGGACCUUAACAAGCCAACUCCUAUCUGCGAAGACAUUAUCUUAUAUAUGAACUCUGCAUAACAUGAAACACACUCCCAUGUGAUGGGGGCAGGGAGAGGUAUUAAUUAGGAAAACCAUGCUAUGUUGACUUUAAAUUCCAUAAUUUAAAUGUAUCACUUACCCUGGCAUGUUUCACGAGUUGGCUUCUCAAAAACUUCUUCUUGAUCAAAUCCUUUUUUAGAUUCCUGUUCUUUGUACGAUCGAUAGAAGACAGACCUAAAAACACAUGGUUGUAAAGAUCAAAACUUCCUCCAGCCUGACCUUCAAAACCACCAAAAAAGUUUGGAUACAUACAAGCCAAAUCUAUUUUU